rnacentral:rRNA from 1 species
AUUGAACGCUGGCGGCAUGCUUUACACAUGCAAGUCGAACGGUAACAGGCCGCCAGGUGCUGACGAGUGGCGAACGGGUGAGUAAUGCAUCGGAACGUGCCCAGUCGUGGGGGAUAACUACUCGAAAGAGUAGCUAAUACCGCAUACGAUCUAUGGAUGAAAGCGGGGGCCCGUAAGGCCUCGCGCGAUUGGAGCGGCCGAUGUCAGAUUAGGUAGUUGGUGGGGUAAAGGCUCACCAAGCCAACGAUCUGUAGCUGGUCUGAGAGGACGACCAGCCACACUGGGACUGAGACACGGCCCAGACUCCUACGGGAGGCAGCAGUGGUGAAUUUUGGACAAAGGGCGCAAGCCUGAUCCAGCAAUGCCGCGUGCAGGAAGAAGGCCUUCGGGUUGUAAACUGCUUUUGUACGGAACGAAACGGCUCUGGUUAAUACCCGGGGCUAAUGACGGUACCGUAAGAAUAAGCACCGGCUAACUACGUG